UUUUUUUGUUCCUUUUUCCGUGUUGUUAAUCUUUUAUCUAAUUCAGACCGAAACUAAUUUAACUCUCUUUUUUUUUUUUUUUUACAUCUCAAAAUAAAUCUGAUGAUUUAAUUACAAACUACGAAAACAUACGAGAAUUCGUAUAUGAACUACUUUAACCUAGCAAUUAUGUUUUAGAAAUCAGCCAAAGCUUCACCAUCUU
rnacentral:lncRNA from 1 species